UACGAAGGGGACUAGCGUUGUUCGGAAUUACUGGGCGUAAAGCGCGCGUAGGCGGAUCGCUAAGUCAGGGGUGAAAUCCCAGGGCUCAACCCUGGAACUGCCUUUGAUACUGACGAUCUGGAGAUCGGGAGAGGUUGGUGGAAUUCCGAGUGUAGAGGUGAAAUUCGUAGAUAUUCGGAGGAACACCAGAAGCGAAGGCGGCCAACUGGCCCGA
rnacentral:rRNA from 1 species